rnacentral:tRNA from 1 species
GGCACAAUGGCCGAGCGGUCUAAGGCGACGCACUCAAGUACUGUACUUCCCAUAUUUGGGGCGAUUUGCGUUCUCUUCGGGGGCGUGAGUUCGAAUCUCACUUGUGUCA